AACGAACGCUGGCGGCAUGCCUAACACAUGCAAGUCGAACGAAGGCUUCGGCCUUAGUGGCGCACGGGUGCGUAACGCGUGGGAACCUGCCCCUCGGUUCGGAAUAACAGUUAGAAAUGACUGCUAAUACCGGAUGAUGACUUCGGUCCAAAGAUUUAUCGCCGAGGGAUGGGCCCGCGUAGGAUUAGCUAGUUGGUGGGGUAAAGGCCUACCAAGGCGACGAUCCUUAGCUGGUCUGGGAGGAUGAUCAGCCACACUGGGACUGAGACACGGCCCAGACUCCUACGGGAGGCAGCAGUGGGGAAUAUUGGACAAUGGGCGAAAGCCUGAUCCAGCAAUGCCGCGUGAGUGAUGAAGGCCUUAGGGUUGUAAAGCUCUUUUACCAGGGAUGAUAAUGACAGUACCUGGAGAAUAAGCUCCGGCUAACUCCGUGCCAGCAGCCGCGGAAAGUAUCGUACG
rnacentral:rRNA from 1 species